rnacentral:rRNA from 1 species
AGACGAACUGUUCGACCGUUAUUCGGAAUCCCUGGGCUUAAAGGGUAUGCAGGCGGCGCGAUCAGCAGGGUUUGAAAUCCCACAGCUCCACUGUGGCACUGGGCUCUGCACUGUCGGGCUAGAGUGAAGUAGGGGCAAGCGGAACUCGCGGUGGAGCGGUGAGAUGCUUUGAUAUCGCGGGGAACACCGGAGGCGAAAGCGGCUUGCUUGGCUUCAACUGACGCUCAAAUGCGAAAGCUAGGGUAGCGAACGGGAUUAGAUACCCCGGUAGUCCUAGCCGUAAACGCUGAGCGCUUGUUCGAGGGAGGAUUUUCUUUCUCGAGCGUAGCGAAAGUCUUAAGCGCUCCGCCUGGGGAGUAUGGUCGCAAGGCUGAAACUCAAAUGAAUUGGCGGGG